UACGUAGGGUGCAAGCGUUAAUCGGAAUUACUGGGCGUAAAGCGUGCGCAGGCGGUGUGUAAGACAGAUGUGAAAUCCCCGGGCUCAACCUGGGAACUGCAUUUGUGACUGCACAGCUGGAGUGCGGCAGAGGGGGAUGGAAUUCCGCGUGUAGCAGUGAAAUGCGUAGAUAUGCGGAGGAACACCGAUGGCGAAGGCAAUCCCCUGGGCCUGCACUGACGCUCAUGCACGAAAGCGUGGGGAGCAAACAGG
rnacentral:rRNA from 1 species